CACGUAGGGCGCAAGCGUUGUCCGGAAUUAUUGGGCGUAAAGAGCUCGUAGGCGGUCUGUUGCGUCCGCUGUGAAAACUCGGGGCUUAACCCCGAGCCUGCAGUGGAUACGGGCAGACUAGAGGUAGGUAGGGGAGAAUGGAAUUCCCGGUGUAGCGGUGAAAUGCGCAGAUAUCGGGAGGAACACCGGUGGCGAAGGCGGUUCUCUGGGCCUAUACUGACGCUGAGGAGCGAAAGCGUGGGGAGCGAACAGG
rnacentral:rRNA from 1 species